rnacentral:lncRNA from 1 species
CGCACACGGCCGCAGGUGCUGCGGCGAUGUCCCCGGCGCGCCCAGGGCGCUGCACCUGCCCCGGGAGCGGUGUCAGUGCCCGCUGGUGCCUCCCCUCCGUCCGCACGGGAACAAGGAAGCAGCUCCAACUUCCUUCAGCCAUCACUCGGCAGCGUAGUUCCCUGCUGGCACCUUCCCUACGCCCUGCGUCCUCGGGUCCCUUACCUUGCAAGGCAUUGGGGUGCUGGCUUUGGACAUGACUCGGGGCACGGGAGGGCUGCCCCUGCUGCUGCUGAGCCUUGCUGUGCUGGAUCUCCCACUGGGGACCACUGUCAGAGAUAUGACAAGGCCUGCAUCCCUGACUCUCCCAACCUCCUCGACACCCACGGAGACCAUGGCACCACUGCCCAACACCAGCUCAAGCACUGCAGCCACCUUCCCUUCCUCUCCUCCUGCAACUUCUACCCCAGAGAUGCCAAUGGAUGCCUUCAUAUCCAGUGCUUCUACAGCUCAGCAGAGCAGCCUGGCAGCCUCCAACAUCACCACACCACAGGCAAGGGGCAGCACAGCUCACAGCACUCCUGUGUCACCUGGGCUGGGACCCACCACCAGCAGUACCCCAGUAAGGUUGGGGCUCACGACCACCAGCACGCCACCUCCAACCUCCAUGGCCAUGACACCCAUCAGUGACAAGAUUACCACUUUCACAUCUGUGGGGACCAGCACAGCCCUGGCUGUCAGCUCAUCUGGAGUUGAAAUGAGCACGUUGCCUCCCUCCACGUCUACCCUUCUCUCCUCCACCGGGGUGGGCACCACGCUUGGCACCAGCACCCACCAAGGGCCAGCCAUGACCACACUGCUUGGCAGCACAUCCCCAGGGACCAGCACCACCUCUUCUUCCACCAUCCCAGAAGUGACAGACACUUCAGAUGGGCCCUUGAUGACCCCAUCAGACACCAUAACCUCCCUUGUUACCACCACAGAGUUCCUUGGGACCACCCCUGGUACUUCCACCCCAAGAGAACCAGAGACCUCCAGUGGCACUACAGAGACCACUGCCAUGGGUGUGACAGCAACUGUGUCUCCAGCUCUCCUUACCUCCUCAACACCCAUGGAGAGCUCAACACUGCUGCCUACCACUGACGCCACCACCACAGACACCCUCCUUUCCUCCAGCCCUGAAACAGAAGCCUCCACCCCAGAGGAGUCCAGCACAUCCACAGAGACUGGCAACACCUCACCUCCCACUGUGCUUCCUCCCACCACAACUACAGAAGAUUCAUCUGAAUCUACAGAAGAGUCCUUGUCAACCCUGGCAGAUACCACAGCCAGCCCUGUCAUCAGCACAUCAGACCCCAUGAGCACUCCCUCUUCAAGCUACCCAGACAGGACCGCUCCUGACAUCUUCCCCCCAACUGUGGAGUUGACUCCAGGUGCAUCUUACCUCUUUCUGUCGCUGCGGCUGACCACCCCUCUGGACCUGAGGAACACCACAGUGCAGGAGCUGAUGUUGUCCAAGCUCCGUGAGGACCUGCAGACAGCGUUCCCGUGUGCUGGCCUGUCACUGGCAUGGCGAGGGAAGAGGAGGACUUGACUGCUGCCUGUUGCCUGGCCUGCUCUCUCCUGGACUGCCAAGCCACCCGCUCCCAGCUCCUCACUCCAUGGUGGUGCAGGCCCCUGGGGAAUCCCACACAACUCCUCUUGAGCCUGGGGCUUCCUGUCCUUCACUCUGUUCCCCCAGUCCCCUCCUUCCCCUUCCCACAGCCUGUCCGAAGAGCCCGUGCCCUCCCACCACCCUGCUCCAGACCUGGUUCCUGUGGUGGGACCCCCUCCAGCCCUGCUGCGGGGCUGGGAGAAGGGGACCCCGCAGGACUGGGCUUUUGCAUCUGGGACUGAUGGGGCAGCCAUCAAAGCCACCCUGGGGACAGAGGGAUGAGAGGAAGGAGACCUGAAGCACCCAGUACUGCUGUUCCCAAGGCUCACCUGCAGUAUUGCUGACAGAAGAGAACACCCAUGACGGGCAGUAAAUAGAAAUGCCAUGUUUUCUGUGUUGAAAUGAUGACUUCUUUUUUCAAUUUUCCAAGUUGCCUUUCCCAAUUUUCAGCUUUGCCAUCGAUUGGAGGUACCGGUGAGGAAAACUGAGUCUCCAGAGCUUUGCGUGGAGAGCCAGGCUCAGUGCUGUCCCCUCCCACCAGGGGCUGCUGCAGACAUUCCCAAGGAUGGCUCGGCACCCCGGCAGACUGGUGGUCUCUGCUUUGGAGCUCUCUGCCCCAUAACACCCCACAGUGCAGGGGCAGCACUGUGGGGCUGUGGAAAUCCCGUGGGCUGUGCUCCUUACCUGUUUUUUCCAGUCCCCAACUAAGGAGAUGGCUGCAACAUCUGUCCCCCUGCAGCAAAGUCAUUUAUUAACUGAUUAAUUAGCCAGAUAAAAUCCAGCUGAAGCAAUUAUUAGCCUUAGCAAGCCACCUCACCUGGAAAUUGAAAACUGAAAUAAUUAGCAAAAUGGCCUUGUUGUGUGUCAGGGGUUGUUUUUGGCUGAUCCCUGCUUCUUACUGGCAGCCCUCACUGCCUCAACACAGGGAGGACUGAGAGGGGGCGUGUGGGGCUGUGGGAUUCCUAACCUGGGGACUUCUCUCAGGCUGUCUGGAUUGUCAGCAGCUGGACAGGAUGGGGAGAGACACUGUGGGAUGACCCAGCUGCCUGCCAGUUCAGAGGGCCUGGGAUGAGGCUGGGCUGGAGGCUGUGCCCAGGCAGCUUGUCAGGAUGCUCCCAUUUGGGUUGCUCCUUGCAUUCCAGGGUGGCCCCUUUGCUCUUUAGGAUGCUGCCUGGCUUUUGUGGGCUUGUUGGACUCAUCGAGACUGAGAGAGGUCCCUUAGCAGCUGGGCAAGGAGCUGACGAGCAGGGCAAAGCCUGUUGGAAGGAGUCCCUGUGCAGGCUGCCUGCUGGGGUGCUGGGAAAGAAAUCCUUGUGGCCUGCCUACGCCUUGGAGCUGGGCCAGGAGUCCUCCCACGUCGCGUCCCACUGGGCUGUUUUCUCCGGCUGUUGAAUCCAUAACUUCAGACCCCAGGACAUGGCUGGGUGCCAAGGCCAGGGUAAUGGAGCCAAACUGCGUCACAAAGGGAGGAAAAGGUCCUGAAGUGCUGGGAUAAAAAGGUGACCAGGGUACUCACUGUUCCCUGCUGGCACAGCCGCCCUCCACCGUUAUUGUGGCUGGGGGACCGUGGGGGGAGGAGAUGCUCUGCUCCCCUCUGUCACCAGGGAGGAGAGGAGCUCCCUUGGAGUGGUGUCACUGCCCAGGCAGUGGUGGCACAGAGCUCUGACAAGCCCCCGACACUGCCCAUACUCUUCCUGUGCCCAUACUCUGCUGUCCUUGAGGUGCCACCUUCACCCCAUGGCUGCUUGCCUGCCCCAAACUGCUGCCCAGACAGACUUGGGAGGCUGGAUCCAAGUCCUGCUGCUUUCCCAGCCCACAAAAGAGUUCUCAGCCUCUUUGUUGUAAUACACUCCAAUCUCUCAGCAUCGUCCAAAGGAAUAAAUCUUGUGCCCAACAUGACUGUCA